rnacentral:lncRNA from 1 species
UUCAAAACUCCCUGGUUCCGUGUCCAGUCGUCAAACAUAUUGCCAAAAAGUUUACUCGGAGUACACUUACGUUAAGGUAGAUCGGGAAUACCCGACGCAAGGGUGCAUCGUGAAAUGCUUUAUAAGCAGAGAAUGGGAGAGCAGGCUUAUUUCUGCUGUCGAUGGCGUAAAAUGUGGCAAAGGAAAGGUGUGUGUUCUUGGUAAUUGCACUUCUAAAGCCGAAUUGAAAGCCGAAUGAACUAAUGAAGAACCACUUAAUAAUCGACUUAGUCUUAACCAUCUGCAUUUGAUAUAAUAAAAUAGAAAAUGCACCUGCUUCUCUUCACUACAGAACGAAACCGAUCAGUACUUUCGCAGUCAGUCAAUUGUUUUACGCGGCAAGCUCAUUUUUGCAGCAAAAGCACAGCACACUAUAAUAGCUUUUUGUAACCAACA